UUAUGGAAAGAAAGUCAUGUCCAUAACCCCCAAUUGCAAUUUCAUUCCCUUAUUUUUAGCCCUUAUAUAUAUAUAUAUAUAUUAUUCUUUUUUCCUUUAUUCAAAUCCCAUAAAAUUUAAAAUUUGUAGAAUGACCUGACAUAUAUUUUCUUAAAUUUUAGCUUAAUUCCAUUGUCCUUUCGCUUAUUUCGCUUUGCUGCUCUUCUACGACAUUUUGCUACGAUACUAUCUGGGUCGCGAGCUCGGGAGAGAUGAAUUUCGGAUCACAUAUCUAGCCACUAAUGUGGAAACAGGUGAAAAAUUCGCUUGCAAAUCCAUAUCCAAGAGUAAGCUGAGAACUGCUGUGGACAUGGAGAAUAUGAGCAGAGAGGUUGAGAUGAUGAAGCUCUUGUUGUUCCUCUUUCCGGUCGACUGGCCGGUCAUCCCCUGGACGUCUAGUGUGUUUUGAAAGCUACAGUACUCACCAUUGGAGUGGCUGAUAUCAGAUUGAGAAAUUUGACUUUUCUUUUAUUCAGAUUUGAUGAAAUUUUUGGUGAACCAUUGGAGAUGCUCUAACCGAACCAUUUUUUGUCUCUCUCUGUCGUCUCUCUCUCACCGCUCCCUCCUACAUCAAUCUCCUCAAUGGCGAUCUCUCUCUCUCUCUCCCCUUCAUCGUCGUCUGUCCAUCGAGCACAUCACAAUAGCUGUCGCCUCCUCCAACCUCCAUCAUUUCUCUCCGGCGGGGGUAUUGCCUCUGGUGUUCAUCGUCCUCGAUUCGACUCAGGUAGAAGUCGAUGAGGCGAGUUUGCGGCAGCGAACGCGAUCAUCGAUGCGUGAAUCGCAGAUUUGUAGGUAUUUGGAGUCAGAUCUGGUUGUUCCGGCGAGAUCUCUCUACCAUCUUCACCGCCGAUGGCUUCCCGAGCUGCAGUGAGUCCCCAAUCUAACUUCGUUGAUCCUCGUAUUCCGGCGUUGCACAACUCUAAUCUACAUAUAGAGUUCGUCAUCGUCAAUCAACCCACGAUCUAAUCAUGCCAUGUCACCCCUCCUCUCGUCAAGUCAUCACCUUUUCUUCUCGCCAGAACAACCCGAGCUUCUGGUACCAUUUUCCAAGAAAAAGAAGUGAUUGAAUGGAAAGUGGUGCUCGUGGUGGUGGUCGGAGACGACAGUCCGUGGUGGAGUCGCCAAAGACAAAUCUUGUCUUUGAAAGCCUUCCAUGUUUUCUUGCUUUCGUUGCUGCAGUUGGGAUCGUCUCUGUUCAAAUUUUUUUUUUUUUUAGAAGCUCAGAUCUGGUAAAGGCUUAACAGAUAGUUAGAAAAUGGGUUUUGGGUAUUUGAUUUUUGGUAGCUUCAUUUUGUACAGAUAACUGGUCAUCUGUGUGUGUACAGAUAACCAUCCGGAUCCUCCUCUAUCUUUCUUUCUGGUGGGUUUGGAUAUGCCUUGUUUCUUUGGGUAUAGAUAAUCUAAAUUUUUUUAACAUUUGCUAUGUUUUUACCUUUCUUUUGGGUAUAGAUAAUAUAAUUUUUAUUAACAUUUGCUCUGUUUUUACCUUUCUUUUGGGUAUAGAUAAUACAAUUUUUAUUAA